rnacentral:lncRNA from 1 species
GGGAAGCGGGGCGGGCGCGGGAGAGGCGCGGCGAGCCCAGGGCAGCUCCGAGGGCCCGGUGCCCGCCCUGCCGGACCCGGGCGAGGCAUCCGGGCCGAACAGCAUGAGGAAGAGAAGCAUGACACGUUGGUAUCAUAAUGGGCUUGCUGCGUAAAGAUAGCAGCAUAAUACAUCUUGCCGGUGAUUCCAUGAAGGACUCCAGACUUCCGACUAUGGAACGCAAUUUUCUAUUUUAUAUCUUUAGGAGAAAAGGCUCAAAGAAUGAAAGAAGAAAACUUCACAAAUAAUAAGAAGGUGUGAAUGGGCUUCAGAGUGAGAGGCAACAGUAACUUUGCUGCUUGAGGACCCUCUCACCUCUGGAAAGUGUUGAGCUCUGAACGGUGUCAUGUGUCUCAGUAGCUUAGUCCUCCCUCAAAUAUUCAGAGUUUUUAAGGUGGUGGAGAUGGAAUCCAGGGCCUCACACAUGCUGGCCUGAAACAAAGGAUUCCCCUGCCUUACCCUGCAGAGUCCAGUGGGAUUCCUGGCCUGCACCACUGUGCCUGGCUCACAUAUUCAAACUGCUGAUUGCAGGAACCCGGAGCCUGGACUGGAACCCAGAGACCUGGGCAGAGUUUGAAUUGACAGCCCGGACUCCUGAUGAGCAGUAAUCCCCCUGCUUCUGUUUCCCCGUGGCCUCCAUGCCGUGCUUUGGAAGGAGGAGAAGUCAAGCCAGAGAGACGCGACAGUGGAGAGCAAACCCUGGUGCAUUCAUGUCUCUGCCUGGCCCCUCUUCCUGUCAUUUACUUGUCUCUCAAGGCGUUUUUGUCUGUCUCCCUGCUAGAAUCUAAGUUCCAGGAGGCCAGGGAUGUUUGAUUGUCCUGUGCCUCGCUGUGUUCCCAAACCCCGGGCAGUGACUGGCACACACCUAUCGCUCAACAAAUGCUCAAAGGGGAAAAAAUGUGGGGAUAAUUGAUUUAGAAAAACGUGGGUAAUAAAGAAAAUGUUGUUGGAGAACAAGCCAUUUCAAGUCUUGAUUUACACAGGUAAAUUUAACUGGAAAAAGUUACUAAAAUAUUUCAUAGGGUUUUUCCCCAAAUUAUUAUUUUUUAUUGAUAUAUAUAGUCCAUCUACCAUUAAAAUUAACCCAUUUAAAGCAUAUGUUCCUAUGGUUUUUGGUAUUAUAGAAAGAUUUUCACUAUCUUUUUCAAAGUAUCAACUAUUACAUAUAUAAACUCAGUAUCUGAUGAGACAUGAGAACUGGCCACACAGACAUGUGAAAAAUAUCAGUUCCACCAAACGUCAUUAUUAGACAGUCUUUAGUGACUCUGACACUGAAGUCGUGAAUUGCUAAUAACUAGGGUUUUUCCGUAUGGAAAUCCACAUAAUCCUCUUUAAGUAAUUAAUCACUGUCAAUGCUUAUACUUAAACUUGUAUGAAAAAAUGAUACUCAGAUUGGUUCUGUAUGAUAAAUGCAUAUGAAAACAAUAAAAUUCUAAUUCCGAUUGGCACAUGUACCUAUUUCUUUAUUUGUAUCAUUUACGUGUAUAUGUGGAAUCUGUUUUAUGUUGUCAUCUUUUCCUUGCAUGAAGGGAUGAGUGUUUAUGAUACUGAAGUAUGUGAGGCUGUAAAUGGCAUUUACAUUCAAUAACUACAUCGAUGCUGCUUCUGCAUUUAAUCGCUGGCUGGAGAUAUUUAUUGCUUGGUGUACUAUUCUCCCAUAAACAGCACUACCUCAAUAGGACACUCUCUUACUACUGAUUAUUUUCCCCUUUCCGUGGAAAUGAAAAAAAAAAAAACAACCAUUUUAUAAAAAUAAAACAUUCCCA